rnacentral:rRNA from 1 species
GCUACCUCUAGCCCGGCCACACUCCCCAAAAAUUAUUAAAAACCAACUCCACCCACGAACUAAAACAUUUUUCCUCCGGACCAAGUAUAGGCGAUAGAAAAGUCCCCUUCCAUCGGCGCAAUAGAGACCCCCUCGUACCGCAAGGGAAAGCUGAAAUAAUAAUGAAAACCCAAGCACCACAUAGCAAAGAUAGACCCUUGUACCUCUUGCAUCAUGGUUUAGCAAGAACAACCAAGCAAAGCGAACUUAAGCUUGCCAUCCCGAAACCCAAGCGAGCUACUUACAAGCAGCUACACCGAGCGAACCCGUCUCUGUUGCAAAAGAGUGGGAUGACUUGUCAGUAGAGGUGAAAAGCCUACCGAGCUGGGUGAUAGCUGGUUGCCUGUGAACAGAAUUUAAGUUCUCCCUUAAUUCCUCUCCACGGACCUUUAAUUUUAGCCUUUACGUAAGAAUCAAGAGCCACUUAAAGGAGGUACAGCUCCUUUAAAAAAGAACACAAUCUCCCGCAGAGGAUAAAAUCUUUCCCUCCUCCUUGUAGGCCCCUAAGCAGCCACCAACAAAGAGUGCGUCAAAGCUCUCCACUUCCAAAAAUAAAAAAACAACAGGACUCCCUCCCCAAUAACAGGCCAACCUAUCAUAAUAGGAGAGCCAAUGCUAAAAUGAGUAACCAGGGUAACCCCUCUUGAGCGCAAACUUACAUCCCCACAUUAUUAACAGAUCCACUUAAUCUCUCAACCCUAACAAGCCAAGAUAUUAUAAAUCACGCUGUUAAGCCAACCCAGGAGCGCCUGCUAGAAAGACUAAAAUCUGUGAAAGGAACUAGGCAAGCCUAAGACCCGACUGUUUACCAAAAACAUAGCCUUUAGCGUACCAAGUAUUAAAGGUGAUGCCUGCCCAGUGACUCCUAAUUGUUCAACGGCCGCGGUAUCCUAACCGUGCGAAGGUAGCGCAAUCAAUUGUCCCAUAAAUUGAGACUUGUAUGAAUGGCUAAACGAGGUCUUAACUGUCUCUCACGGAUAGUCGGUGAAAUUGAUCUCCUCGUGCAAAAGCGAGAAUAAACCCACAAGACGAGAAGACCCUGUGGAACUUAAAAAUCAGCAACCACUAUACCUACACACACGUCUACUAGACCCACAGUCAAUUAAACACUGGUUCGCAUUUUUUGGUUGGGGCGACCUUGGAGAAAAACAAACCCUCCAAAAAUAAGACCACACCUCUUAACCAAGAGCAACCCCUCAACGUACUAACAGUAACCAGACCCAAUAGCAAUUGACCAAUGGACCAAGCUACCCCAGGGAUAACAGCGCAAUCCCCUCCAAGAGCCCAUAUCGACAAGGGGGUUUACGACCUCGAUGUUGGAUCAGGACAUCCUAAUGGUGCAGCCGCUAUUAAGGGUUCGUUUGUUCAACGAUUAACAGUCCUACGUGAUCUGAGUUCAGACCGGAGCAAUCCAGGUCGGUUUCUAUCUGUGCUGCACCUUUCCCAGUACGAAAGGACCGGAAAAGUAGGGCCAAUAUCACAGACAUGCCCUCUCCCUAAGUAAUGACUUCAACUUAAUUACAAAGGGAACCCCCACCCAACCUACAUCCCUAGAAAAGGGCU